CAGCCGCCACGGUAAUACGGAGGGUGCUAGCGUUGUUCGGAAUCACUGGGCGUAAAGGGCGCGUAGGCGGCCUGUUAAGUCGGAUGUGAAAGCCCGGGGCUCAACCCCGGAACUGCAUCCGAGACUGGCAGGCUUGAGACCGGGAGAGGAGGGUGGAAUAUCCAGUGUAGAGGUGAAAUUCGUAGAUAUUGGAUGGAACACCGGUGGCGAAAGCGGCUCUCUGGCCCGGAUCUGACGCUGAGGCGCGAAAGCGUGGGGAGCAAACAGGAUUAGAUACCCCGGUAGUCCCUGUCUCUUAUAC
rnacentral:rRNA from 1 species